UCCCGUUUAGCUCAGUUGGUAGAGCGCGUCACUAGUAUGGGACUAUCCAUUAGGAAUGUCUCGUCAUGACGAGGUCAGUCGUUCGAGUCGGCUAAUGGGAA